rnacentral:rRNA from 1 species
CUACGGGUGGCUCCAGUGAGGAAUAUUGCACAAUGGGGGGAACCCUGAUGCAGCAACGCCGCGUGGAGGAUGACGCAUUUCGGUGUGUAAACUCCUUUUAUAUGUCAAGAAAAUGACGGUAGCAUAUGAAUAAGCACCGGCUAACUCCGUGCCAGCAGCCGCGGUAAUACGGAGGGUGCAAGCGUUACUCGGAAUCACUGGGCGUAAAGGACGCGUAGGCGGGCUUGUAAGUCAGGUGUGAAAUCCUACAGCUUAACUGUAGAACUGCACUUGAAACUACGAGCCUGGAGUAUGGGAGGGGGAGAUGGAAUUAGUGGUGUAGGGGUAAAAUCCGUAGAUAUCACUAGGAAUACCUAAAGCGAAGGCGAUCUCCUGGAACAUAACUGACGCUAAGGCGUGAAAGCGUGGGGAGCAAACAGGAUUGGAUACCCGCGUAGUC